rnacentral:rRNA from 1 species
AUUGAACGCUGGCGGCAGGCCUAACACAUGCAAGUCGAACGAGUGGCGGACGUGUGUGUAAUGUCUGGGAAACUGCCUGAUGGAGGGGGAUAACUACUGGAAACGGUAGCUAAUCCCGCAUACCAUCGGAUGUGCCCAGGUGGGAUUAGCUAGUAGGUGGGGUAAAGGCUCACCUAGGCGGCGAUCCCUAGCUGGUCUGAGAGGAUGACCGGCCACACUGGGACUGAGACACGGUCCAGACUCCUACGGGAGGCAGCAGUGGGGAAUAUUGCACAAUGGGCGAAAGCCUGAUGCAGCCAUGCCGCGUGUGUGAAGAAGGCCUUCGGGUUGUAAAGUACUUUCAGCGGGGAGGCGUUACCCGAAGAAGAAGCACCGGCUAACUCCGUGCCAGCAGCCGCGGUAAUUC